rnacentral:lncRNA from 1 species
UAAACUUUGUGUAUAUUGAGUAGGGACUAGCUGUUUGAUUACUUGAUAAUUUCUUGGUUGACUGAGUUGAUAUUAGUUAUGUUUUUGGCUUGUUAUAAAGUGAAUUGAUUGUGAUGUGUCGUGAAGUGAAUUGAUUGUGAUGUGUUGUGAAGUGAAUUGAUUGUGAUUAAGGAUUGAUGACUUUUGUAUGGAUAUUGUGUGAUCGGAAAAGCUGAGCCGGGCGGAUAGCUACCCGAGUAUGUGAGAUGGCAAGACUGAGCCGGGCGGAUAGUCUUGUCAAGUGGUUACUGAAAUUUAAAAAUGUGAGUAAAUGUAAGGAUGAGUCAUCUGAUCCUAAUUUGAUAGAAAUAAUGUGGAAUUGAAUUAUUUGACUUGGUUGAGUUUGAGAUUAUUUGCAUUACAUGAGAUGAAAUUAUAUGUUUAUGAGAAUAACUGAAAUGGUUGAUUUUGUGAUUGUUAGUUAAGUGUUGGUAUAAUUUUCUGUAUUGAUAAAGAUUUGAUAAUUCUAGCCUAAUAUACUAUAGUUUAGUAAAUUAAAUGCUUAUUGAGUCGCUAGCUCAUUCCUUAGCAAAUUUUUUUUUCAGGUUAGUGCAGUUGUAGAUAGCCUUAGCUGUGCAUUGCUCUCUUUGCAUCAGUCAAUAUUAUCAGGUGGGCCAGAGGAGUUAUCUAAA